rnacentral:tRNA from 1 species
GUGGAUAUAGCUCAGCUGGUUAGAGCGCAGGAUUGUGGCUCCUGAGGCCGUGGGUUCGAAUCCCAUUAUCCACC